rnacentral:lncRNA from 1 species
UUUUCUACCGUUGUGAUCAACGUUUUCUUCUCUACAAGUUGACUGAAGCAAAAUACCCAACCGCAACGUGAGCCAGAGGAGCCGUAGCACCGGAGAGCCUUGCCGCUAGUGAGUUUCAGUUUUUUGUUUUUUUCGACCAACUAAGGCCCUUUAACGUGUUUUUCGCAGGGAUUGAUUCAAAAUCGACUAAAUUCGGCUGAAAAU